AAGAAACUGAAGGCUAAGUGCAAUUCCCCCGAGUGAAGGCAACAAGUUUCCUGAUGGCUGUGAGAUGUUUGAGAAUAUGUAGGGCCAGGACUCAAAAUCCUUCUGGCUUCCCAUCUUCAGGCACAGUGACUGCGACCCAAGAGUUCAGAAGGCUCUUCUUACCUCCUGCCCUACCCUGCCAGCCAGGAUUUCCCAACUGUACUUGGUUCUGAAAACAUGUGAGCCAGGCCAGAAGGUCCUGACGUGACCAUCUCCCCUGGAACCUCCCUAGGUGUCCUGUCUCCACCUGGCUGACUGCUCAUCUUUCAAGAUCCUGUUCCAAUGUCACCACUGCUCUGUUUCUGGAUAAGGAGUCAAUCAAGAUGAGACUCAAAGAAGACACAAUUGCUUUCUUAACCUCAAAGAACACAAGAUUGCAGAGACAUGCAAAGAAUGACUCAGGCACGUGCCGUGUGGUGGCUCAACAUGCUAAUCCUCCACCCUGGCUUGUGUCUCAGCCGCUCCACUUCCCAUCCAGCUCCCUGCUUAUGGCCUGGAAAAGCAGUAGAGGAUGACCCAAAGUCUUGGGCCCCUGUACCACAUGGGAGAUCUGGAAGAAGCUCCUGGCUUCA